GAGAAUUACAGCAAUAAUGGCUUAAAUAAUACUGAAAGAGGAGCCUUGUAUUUAUAGUAUAAAAUCUAACCCUAAAAGAGUUCCAAAAAAGGUAAGAAAUCUAAUGCAAUUUAGACUCCUAUUUGAAUCACACUUCUAACAAAAGAAGCUACCAACCAUUCCUUGAAUGCUAGCGUUCCAUUGGGAUUCCACUUCUUGAUGGCAAACAGUCAUUUCCAAGCCUGGCUUCUUUAGCAGUGAGUCUGAUCAUUGACCUAUCCAUCGAAAAUAGGACCAGUGCCAGGCCUCCUUAUCUAAAAUGUUGUCAGCUCAAAAAUUUAUGGUUGCGUUCUUUAUUUCUUCGAAUGAAAUGGGCUUAGCAGUAGGCAUCCGCAGACUGCAAUAUUUCAACUAGGAAGACUCACCAUUGCUAUCUCUACUAUAAAACUGAAUGCCAAGGCCGGAAGAGCAGAAGGAUGGUUGGAUAAUCAGUGGCGGAUCCAACCUUGAGUUUGGACACGGGCUAUAAUACAAAUAUACAUGGAUUUAUCUUUUAAAAAAAAUGGACAUUUGCAAGGGAGAUACGGGCUAUAGUCCGUUUGAGCCCGUGCUUGUAUCUGCCCCUGAUUGGAUUUACUGAGAAUUCUUGAAGAAUAUGAAGUUUUACAAGAAAAUGGGGGCAAAGAUACAAGGUUGUUUCAUAUUAACUGAUGCAAAUUUCAAAUGAUAGCAACAUACAAAUGAAUUUAUGGGGUCGACUUGAAUAAAAAAAAUUUUAAAAAAUCAUAUUUAAUACUCUAUGUAUAUCCAUCUAGUAAAAGAUUAACAGGAUUAUCUCUCAAAAGAGAUGUGGCCGCCAAAGAAUCGAAUGAGCAUAAACACAAUGUUUGAAAUGAAGGAUCACCAUUUUAUCAUCAAGAACAUCCAGUGUUCACUGGGACUGCUUUUAUACUCACAAGGGAAAUACAUCUGGUCCAAAAUCCAAGCAAACCUUUAACAUAUUUUUUUCAAACACUAAAAGAGUAAUGUGAUCUCCAACAAUUACACCAAAUGAAUAGUAUUUUCUAUCUUUUCUUUUUUUUUUUUUAUUUCUUCACAAUUAUUUUAUUUCAAAAUUAUUUAAUUACAAAUUAUAUCAUUAAAGAAAUAUUAAAUUAAAAAUUAUAUUUAAUGUAUCAAAAUAUUGUAUUUUAACUAAUACCACAGUUAAAAAAAUUACAUUUAACGCAAGAAAAAUACGCAUAAUAAAAAU
rnacentral:lncRNA from 1 species